rnacentral:rRNA from 1 species
GACAGGGGGUGCAAACGUUGCUCGGAAUCACUGGGCGUAAAGCGCACGUAGGUGGUCGUGUAAGUCGGGUGUGAAAGCCCUCGGCUCAACCGAGGAACUGCGCCCGAUACUGCAUGGCUCGAGGACGGGAGGGGAGAGUGGAAUUCCUGGUGGAGCGGUGAAAUGCGUAGAUAUCAGGAGGAACACCGGUGGCGAAAGCGACUCUCUGGUCCGUUCCUGACACUGAGGUGCGAAAGCUAGGGGAGCAAACGGG